rnacentral:lncRNA from 1 species
AAGCUGGGGUGAGGGCGCGUAGGUCAGGCCCGGAGUGGUCCCCCCCUCCCCGACACCUACGGAGUAGGUAUGAACCGGGUCGUCCCCUAUAUUAGCUUAAAAAUGGUCUAGUCUUAUCUCUACCAGUCAAAAAAUUUUAGUCUUACCUUUGUAACCACACACGUUCAGCUAGUCUUAUUAUCUAGUAUUCUCGUCAAGUUACGCCACGUAAUGUGAGAGUAUAAUUUGUUGAGUAGAUAGGCUUGCAUAAUGUUAUGCUAGUUGAUAUAUGAUGAUAUUUGUGUAUUGGUAUCAAAUAAAUAUGUCUUUUGUUUUAAUUAUGUGGCCAUUAUCCGGACAAAGUUGGGUGACCUUGAAUAAGAAAACCUUCUGCUGCAGCCUUAGAUUCUCUUGAGUUUAUGGUAGCAAAUAGAUAGUGCUGCGGUGACACCUUUUGAGCUUUUGACUGCAAGUAGUCAUUGAAGUCGAGAAAAGUUAAGCAACUGAUCAGUUAACUUUAGUCUUACCUUGUACUUCUCUUUUUGAGAUUUUUCUAUUAGUAUUAUUUAUAAAUAAGCCAUCAAGUACUUUGCUGGUGGUAUAUUAGCUUAAAAAUGAGGGAUGGCCUUGGCUCAGCGGUGAGCUUGCUUACCGUGGUGUGCCAGGGUCGGGGGUUCGAAACGCCCCUCCAGCGAAGCUGGGGUGAGGGCGCGUAGGUCAGGCCCGGAGUGGUCCCCCCCUCCCCGACACCUACGGAGUAGGUAUGAACCGGGUCGUCCCCUAUAUUAGCUUAAAAAUGGUCUAGUCUUAUCUCUACCAGUCAAAAAAUUUUAGUCUUACCUUUGUAACCACACACGUUCAGCUAGUCUUAUUAUCUAGUAUUCUCGUCAAGUUACGCCACGUAAUGUGAGAGUAUAAUUUGUUGAGUAGAUAGGCUUGCAUAAUGUUAUGCUAGUUGAUAUAUGAUGAUAUUUGUGU